rnacentral:tRNA from 1 species
ACCUGGUUGACUCAGUCGGUGAAGCGUGUGACUCUUGAGCUCAGGGUUGUGGGUUCAAGCCCCACACUGGGUG